rnacentral:rRNA from 1 species
AUAAUAAUUAAACCGCAUGGUUUAGUUAAAGAUGGUCUUGCUAUCACUAAGAGAUGGCCCCGCGGUGUAUUAGUUAGUUGGUGAGGUAAUGGCUCACCAAGACAAUGAUACAUAGCCGAGUUGAGAGACUGACCGGCCACAAUGGGACUGAGACACGGCCCAUACUCCUACGGGAGGCAGCAGUAGGGAAUCUUCCACAAUGGACGAAAGUCUGAUGGAGCAACGCCGCGUGUGUGAUGAAGGGUUUCGGCUCGUAAACACUGUUGUAAGAGAAGAAUGACAUUGAGAGUAACUGUUCAAUGUGUGACGGUAUCUUACCAGAAAGGAACGGCUAAAUACGUG